CUUGGAGGCAGGGGUCCCUCAGCCCAGAUUGCGAGAGGGUGCAGGCCAAGCUGAGGGACCCCACCAGUGCACA
rfam:Myotis lucifugus cont2.12443, whole genome shotgun sequence.